rnacentral:lncRNA from 1 species
CCCGCCUCCCUCGCCCCCCCUUCAACCCCUACACCCACCCACACUUCGCUCCGGAGCCUCUUCCACAGAGAGCUCCACGCUUUGAUUCGGGAGCUGAGUGCUCCCCAGGUUAAAAGUGCUGCAGACCUGAAUGUCCCAUAACUAUGCCCCGGGAAGCAGAAGCGGACUGGAGGGCAGUAGGAACGGCCUGGGCCACGUUAUCUUGGUGAAGGCACUUUAAAAACAACACACAUUUCCUGUCUAGUUUGUUCUACUGAUCAACAAUACUUUCUGAAAGGAACUACAUCUGCUCCAGAUGCAAGAUGCUGAGCCGAAAUGGGAACAGAACUUCAAUUAGCAUAUGUUUAUGUCCUUUUGCACCAGAUCAUUCAAUGGGCCAUUAAAGGCUUUACAAUCCCCCAGGAAGUAGAACUCUCUCUUGUUGCCCUUUGGAAGAGUUACACUUUCUAAUACCAAAAAAACCUCACCAACCUACCACCACCACCACCAUCACCAUCAUCACCAUCACCACCACCACCACAAAAAAGGACAAGAAAUGGAUAUAGGUUUUGUAAGUGUUAAAUAACUUUCUCAGCAUGUAUUAAAGGAAGAUUGUAUUUUAUCAACAGCUGAUUGAUGCUGCCAUGUGGUCCUCUCCGUUUGUCUAUAGUAUCAUAUUUAUUUAACCUGCUGGGGAACUGUGUCCAGGGGCAGCUUGCUCAUGCUGACAAGAGCAUACACAUUACACACUACCCCAGGUAUUCUGAUUGAUUGUUCCCACCCCAAAGCCUUUGGAUCAUAAUUUAGCACAGCAGGUUCUGCAUCACAGACUAGGUUUCAAAAAAAAAAUCUUGUAAGAGAUUUCAAUAAGCAACUACUGCCAAGAAACCUUUCUCUGCCUCCUCCCCCCAAAUAUUUUAAAUGCUUCCCCUGAUAUUUCAGUUUGCAUAAUUACAGGGCACACAACCUUUAUUUACCUUAGUUCCCUG